AGGAAUGUGGCUUAGUGGUAGAGUGCUUGCCUAGAAUGCAUGAAGCCCUGGGUUCGAUUUCUCAGUAAUGCAU
rfam:Dipodomys ordii contig_95544, whole genome shotgun sequence.